rnacentral:misc_RNA from 1 species
GAUGAAGAACGCAGCGAAAUGCGAUAAGUAGUGUGAAUUGCAGAAUUCAGUGAAUCAUCGAAUCUUUGAACGCACAUUGCGCCCCUUAGUAUCCCGAGGGGCAUGCCUGUUCGAGCGUCAUUUCACCACUCAAGCCUGGCUUGGUGUUGGGCGACGUCCCCUUUGGGGACGCGCCUCGAAACGCUCGGCGGCGUGGCACCGGCUUUAAGCGUAGCAGAAUCUUUCGCUUUGGAAGUCGGGGCCCCGUCUGCCGGAAGACCUACUCGCAAGGUUGACCUCGGAUCAGGCAGGGAUACCCGCUGAACUUAAGCAUAUCAAUAAGCGGAGGA